GACGGAGGAUGCAAGUGUUAUCCGGAAUCACUGGGCGUAAAGCGUCUGUAGGUGGUUUAAUAAGUCAACUGUUAAAUCUUGAGGCCCAACCUCAAAAUCGCAGUCGAAACUAUUAGGCUAGAGUAUAGUAGGGGUAAAGGGAAUUUCCAGUGGAGCGGUGAAAUGCGUAGAGAUUGGAAAGAACACCAACGGCGAAAGCACUCUGCUGGGCCGACACUGACACUGAGAGACGAAAGCUAGGGGAGCGAAUGGG
rnacentral:rRNA from 1 species